rnacentral:rRNA from 1 species
ACGGAUCUCUUGGUUCUGGCAUCGAUGAAGAACGCAGCGAAAUGCGAUAAGUAAUGUGAAUUGCAGAAUUCAGUGAAUCAUCGAAUCUUUGAACGCACAUUGCGCCCCCUGGUAUUCCGGGGGGCAUGCCUGUUCGAGCGUCAUUUCACCACUCAAGCC